rnacentral:misc_RNA from 1 species
GAUGAAGAACGUAGCGAAAUGCGAUAAGUAGUGUGAAUUGCAGAAUUCAGUGAAUCAUCGAAUCUUUGAACGCACAUUGCGCCCCUUGGUAUUCCAUGGGGCAUGCCUGUUCGAGCGUCAUUUGUACCUUCAAGCUCUGCUUGGUGUUGGGUGUUUGUCUCGCCUCUGCGUGUAGACUCGCCUCAAAACAAUUGGCAGCCGGCGUAUUGAUUUCGGAGCGCAGUACAUCUCGCGCUUUGCACUCAUAACGACGACGUCCAAAAGUACAUUUUUACACUCUUGACCUCGGAUCAGGUAGGGAUACCCGCUGAGCUUAAGCAUAUCAAUAAGCGGAGGA